GACGAACGCUGGCGGCAUGCCUAACACAUGCAAGUCGAGCGAGUAGAUCCCUUCGGGGUGAAGCUAGCGGCGGACGGGUGAGUAACACGUGGGCAACCUGCCUCAUAGAGGGGAAUAGCCUUCCGAAAGGAAGAUUAAUACCGCAUAAGAUUGUAGUACCGCAUGGUAUAGCAAUUAAAGGAGCAAUCCGCUAUGAGAUGGGCCCGCGGCGCAUUAGCUAGUUGGUGAGGUAACGGCUUAUCAAGGCGACGAUGCGUAGCCGACCUGAGAGGGUGAUCGGCCACACUGGGAAUGAGAAACGGCCCAGACUCCUACGGGAGGCAGCAGUGGGGAAUAUUGCACAAUGGGGGAAACCCUGAAGCAGCAACGCCGCGUGAGUGAUGACGGCCUUCGGGUUGUAAAGCUCUGUCUUCAGGGACGAUAAUGACGGUACCUGAGGAGGAAGCCACGGCUAACUACGUGCCAGCCGCCGCCGUAA
rnacentral:rRNA from 1 species